rnacentral:ncRNA from 1 species
AAUAAAGUUUUAUUUUGGCUUGAAAAUUUGUUAUUAAUUUGAUUUAUAUGUAAAUUUUUGUGUGAUUUUAUAUUUAUUUUAAUAAUAAUUAUAAAAAUUUAUUCGCAGUAAUUAAUUUUAAUAGUUAAAGAAAUUUAGAAAUAGCAAUAUUAAAGAGUAUUGACUAAAUUGGUGCCAGCAGUCGCGGUUAUACCAAUAAUACUAAUAAAUUUUUUUAGUAAUAGUUAAAUUAAUUUUAUAAAAUAAAAUUAAAUAUAUUAAGUGAAAUUUUAUAUUUAAAAUAUUUUUAAAAAUAGUGAUUGAAGCUAAAAAAUUUUAAUUAAAAACUAGGAUUAGAUACCCUAUUAUUUAAAAUGUAAAUUUAUAUAUUAAAGUAGUAAUAGUUAUGUUCUUGAAACUUAAAAAAUUUGGCGGUAUUUUAGUCUAUCCAGAGGAACCUGUUUUGUAAUCGAUAAUCCACGAUGGACCUUACUUAAAUUUGUAAUCAGUUUAUAUACCGUCGUUAUCAGAAUAUUUUAUAAGAAUAAUAAUAUUCAAUAAUUUUAAUAAAAAUUUAUAUCAGAUCAAGGUGUAGCUUAUAUUUAAGUAAUAAUGGGUUACAAUAAAUAUAUUUAAACGGAUAAAAUUAUGAAAAAGUUUUUGAAGGUGGAUUUGGUAGUAAAAUUAUAUAGAUAAAUAAUUUGAUUUUAGCUCUAAAAUAUGUACACAUCGCCCGUCGCUCUUAUUAUUAAGGUAAGAUAAGUCGUAACAUAGUAGAUGUACUGGAAAGUGUAUCUAGAAUGAC